rnacentral:lncRNA from 1 species
UCUCUGGGUCUCACUUCCCCCAUGUGUGGAAUGAGGAAAGUGGGCUAGAUGCUUUCUAAGGGCCCUUUCCCUUGUAAGGUUUUACAGAUUCCCAAAGUUCCCAUAUGUCGCCAUGUUUAAUAGUAAGUAAACUGAAGUGGUCCCUCAUUUUCUUCAGAAAUGGCCAUUCUCCUAGAUGUCCUAGUUAGAGUCAUCAGCUCCAGCACCUCCAGCAGCAUGCAAAUCUCAAUUUGUUAUAAGCCUUUGCUCAAUCUCCGGAGUCUUUGAAUGACUGUCUUUGCUAAUUUUGACUAGUUUAGUAGAUGCCUCUAAAUCUAAAUCUCUGUGAAGAGUUUUUAGCAGGAGGGUGACAUGGUCAGAUUCCCAGAUUGGAAUGCUCAUUCUGGCUGUUGAGUGUAUCUCCCAGGGUGAUUUGUAAGUAUUAGAUAAGAUAAUAUAUAUGAAAAGCCCUGGCAUGUGGUUGGUACUCAAUGGAUAUUCAUUGUUUUGGUUGUUAAAUUGCUUAUCACCUCAAGUGUGACCUUAGAGGAAUCACUUCCUGCCCUUGGGUCUCAGUUCCUCCAACUGUAAAAUGCAGGUAAUCUAUCUGUUUUGUUAGUUUGUUCAUUGAUUCAUUGUAAUCUUUGGUUCUUCCCUUUCUCUCAGUGACCCUCAGUCCAGAUAACCUGGGUUCUCCUCCAGUCUAUUUCAAUAGAGCUUAGUAGCUUCUACCUGGCAUCAUUUCCAUUUGAUUUUGGGAUUUCAAUUAAAAUUUUAAAAUACAUGGUGGUAUUCUCCCAAAACAGGCAUUAUAGUGGGUGGCCUCCAGGAAGAACUCUGUAAAUGAGAAAGCAGACUUCAUUUUACCAGGCUUUGUGGUUGCCUUUUGUCCUCAUUUUGGAUCAUCUGACUUUAAGGAACUUCAUUCAUUCAUUCCUGCUUGGCCGAAUGAAUAAACGCUGAUGAUAAUAAUGAUAGCUAUUAUUAUGGAGUGUCUACUAUGUGUUAAGCUUUAUUUAUGUAGGAUCUCAUUUAAUCCUUGUAAUAACUCAGUAAUGUAGACAUAUGUCCCCAAGUGAGCGACACUCUGG